GACGAACGCUGGCGGCGUGCUUAACACAUGCAAGUCGAACGGAAAGGCCCUGCUUUUGUGGGGUGCUCGAGUGGCGAACGGGUGAGUAACACGUGAGUAACCUGCCCUCGACUUUGGGAUAACUUCAGGAAACUGGGGCUAAUACCGGAUAGGAGCUCCUGCUGCAUGGUGGGGGUUGGAAAGUUUCGGCGGUUGGGGAUGGACUCGCGGCUUAUCAGCUUGUUGGUGGGGUAGUGGCUUACCAAGGCUUUGACGGGUAGUCGGCCUGAGAGGGUGACCGGCCACAUUGGGACUGAGAUACGGCCCAGACUCCUACGGGAGGCAGCAGUGGGGAAUAUUGCACAAUGGGCGGAAGCCUGAUGCAGCAACGCCGCGUGCGGGAUGACGGCCUUCGGGUUGUAAACCGCUUUCGCCUGUGACGAAGCGUGAGUGACGGUAAUGGGUAAAGAAGCACCGGCUAACUACGUG
rnacentral:rRNA from 1 species